rnacentral:rRNA from 1 species
GUGGGGAAUCUUGCACAAUGGGGGAAACCCUGAUGCAGCGACGCCGCGUGAACGAUGAAGCCCUUCGGGGUGUAAAGUUCUUUCGGCAGGGACGAUAAUGACGGUACCUGCAGAAGCAGCUGCGGCUAACUACGUGCCAGCAGCCGCGGUAAUACGUAGGCAGCAAGCGUUGUUCGGAAUUACUGGGCGUAAAGAGUGCGUAGGCGGUUGGCUAAGUUUGGUGUGAAAUCUCCUGGCUCAACUGGGAGGGUGCGCCGAAAACUGGCUGGCUAGAGUGCGGGAGAGGAUAGUGGAAUUCCUGGUGUAGCGGUGAAAUGCGUAGAUAUCAGGAGGAACACCUGAGGUGUAGACGGCUAUCUGGACCGUAACUGACGCUGAGGCACGAAAGCGUGGGGAGCAAACAGGAUUAGAUACCCUUGUAGUCC